UUUUGUCAUAAGUAAUACCGAGUUUUUUAAGCACUACCGGUUACAGCAAUGUGACCACAUUAAAACUUAUUUCAAACAGGAAUAUCAUCAUGUCAGACGUAGUUACUGGUACAGUUAAAUUCUUCAACGAAACUAAAGGUUUCGGUUUCAUCACUCAAGAGUCUGGUCCAGACGUGUUCGUACACUUCUCUGCAAUCGACGUACCAGGCUUCAAAACUCUAGCUGAAGGCCAAAAAGUUGAGUUCCAAGUAGCUCAAGGCAAAAAAGGCCCAGAAGCUCAAAACGUUAAGCCUCUAUAAUUUUAGAGCAAACCGUUUUAAGUAAAGAAGGCAGCCGAAUGGCUGCCUUUUUUGU
rnacentral:other from 1 species